rnacentral:lncRNA from 1 species
UUUGCUUGGUUGUUGUUCAAGACUUCUAAGCACCCUCAAGUACCAUAGUUGAUGAUGUUUGAUGAUGAUACUUGUGUACGCUCACAUAGGAAUGGACGAGGCCUUAGUGACUUAACAAAAAUGAAAGUUUAUUUGUUCCUGUUUUGUUUCUAAUUCCAAUGUAAUGUAAUACAUUUAAUUCAAUAAAACGAAACUGUUUAAUCCAUGGUUCUGAAACAAUGAUUCUGUUACAACACUCCCCGACGUUUCCACCACGUUUUGUUGUUUUACGUGGUCGGGGUCUUUUCCCCUUUUGGCCCCUCAUGUUGAGAUUUUAA